GGUGGGGGCUGCUGGUUCUUCCAGGAGCGCGCAUGAGCGGACGCUGCCUACUGGUGGCCGGGCGGGAUGUAACCGGCUGCUGAGCUGGCAGUUCUGUGUCGCUAGGCUUCUGCCCGGCCGCCGCCGCACAUAAGCCACGAGGAGGAGCUUUACGACUUCCCGGUCUUCGGCGCCGGGCGCAGCAAGGGCCAGACUCUGCGCUAGCAGGCGCUGCGCGCCAACCGGCCGGCACCUGUCGCAGAAGGUGCAACCGAUCGCACUGUCGCGCAGAAGCUCCUCAAUGGCCAGCGCCAGCUGCAGCCCCGGCCGCCCACUCGCCUCAUCUGAGCCUGGGUAUUCUAAUAAUACUGCGUGACAUUACGGACAACUUAGCCUAAAUUAUGGAAAAUCAAAUUAUUUAGUAGAACUGCAAGACAAUCCUCUCAGUUGUUGUAAGGUAACUUUGCUGAACUUGUGAAGAAUGGUGUGCAAGGUCCAGAGCGACUGCAGGAGAGGGAAGGUGGGAUUCCCACAGAGCAGGAGCACAGAUAAGCCAAGCAAGGCCCUGCUUGGAAGGCAGCAAUCAACAGAGAUGCACAGACCUGUGAGGGUGCCGGGACAGCCAUGCAACAAUGCAGCCCUUUUGCUUCCUGAGCUCACCAGUUCCCUCGCUCCACCUCUGAGAGGUGGUUUGGAGAAACACAGCCCUUCUCAAGAGGGCUGCAAGCUACUUAAGUCCUGAAAAUUUCCACAAGGCUGAGUCAAAUCUGCGUUUCAUCAUCUAUAAGAAAGGUACCUAUCGAGAACACCCUGCUGGCCAGUGUGUAAAUAUCUAAAGGAGGACUCAGAAAACACCGGGGAAGUCCAGCCUGCACGUGGUGGCUGGGCUUCAGUGAAGCAUGCAGCACAACAGGAGUUGUAAGUAGUAGUUACAUCAGCAGCCCUGGAAAUUCUGCUCAGAACCAAACUGAACAAAUAACAUUAUCUAAGGCUUACAAUUAUUUAACUCCCUAAAUUUUCUGUCCUCCCAGUAGCACUUUCAAAUGCCUAAAAGCAAUUAAAAGAAACAUUUUUCCAAUGUCUCACAGAACCAUUAGAAACACAAAAUUAAUAGCUUCAUAAACUAUAGCUUCUAUUUUAUCCAUAAUAGAAUGAAGGUGCAUAAACCACAUAGUAAUUAAUCUUUGGACAAAAGCAAACAAUAAAUGGAAUAUAUGGCUAA
rnacentral:lncRNA from 1 species